rnacentral:tRNA from 1 species
GCUCGGGUGGCGGAAUGGCAGACGCGCUAGGUUGAGGGCCUAGUGGCCGCUUAGGUCGUGGGGGUUCGACUCCCCCCCCGAGCACCA